ensembl:lncRNA
CAAGACACAGAGUAGAUCAGAAUACAGAGAGGGAGACAGACGGCCAAAAAUGGACACGGUAGAGAUAAAAGUGAGGGAAAAUGAAAGGCAAAAAUUACAGAGAGAGACACGAUGAAACACCAAAUUGGUGAAUGUGUAUUAUAAGCAGCCUUUGAAAAAAUGCUGGCACAGCGAGUUUGUGGCAAAGCAUCCGAAACCUGCCUGAGAGGCCUCGGUAGCAAAAGAAGCUUCUUACAGACGUGAAACCAUCUUAUUUUAGGUCAUUUCUUUGCAAGUGAGUGUGAAAAUCACGGAGCCGUUCCUGUCUGUGGCACAAUCAUAAGUCGAGCAGAUAAACAAAGUGGAAAAGACAAACAAAACAACAAAGAGAUGAAAGAUGAGACGAAAAUCCCCAUAGUCUCACCUCGUAACUAAAGAGAACACAAAGUAUUAUAUUUGCAGCACAUCUACGUGUCUAAUUAAAUGCUUUUGUUUCUUUAAUCUGCUCCGCGGUGCAACUCCACACUUAAUCCUUUAACAAGAGACUUUUCAUCAAAACCCUUUGAAGCAUUAAGAAUAAACCUCGGCGGCCUCGAAGCAAAGCGCCGCGCCGCUGUUUGGGCCGAGGGGAGGUGCCCCUGAGGUCAGGCGGGGUCACGCCGCUCCCGACAGGAAGCUGCAUGGGGACGCACACGACAGCCCGCGAGCCGCCUCUGACUGAAGGCAGAAGUCCUCCGUCUCUCGAGCUCGUCCUCCCGUUUUGUGGUCGAGCGUCGUCCCCGCGGGAACCCGGAGAGGCUCGCGGCGGCCGCAGGAGGAGGAGAGACGAAGGCGCCUUUGACGUAAUUGUAGCAUUUG